UCAGUUGUACUUCUCAGUUGGUGAGAGCGUGGAGCUGAUAUCCCCCAGGUUGCAGGUUCGGUCCCUGUAGGGGACAGCUGCA